GCACCUGCAGCAUUUGGCCCCACCAUAGGCUCGUCGAUGGGAUCCUCUACUUGAUCACUGGAUAAAUCGCGAGCGGCGGCGGCAGCCGCAUUCGCAGCUCCAGCAGCCGCACUGGCAGCUCCGGCAGCCAUUUCCGCAGCGGCUCCAGCAGCUCGACUGGCGAUCUCCGCCAUGGCCGCUGCACUGCGACUGGCAUCGGUGGCCGCCUGCAAAUUGGCAGCCUGCGAAGGUGCCACAGCAGUUGGAGUGCCCGCGCUGGUGGGCGUUUGAGUGCCCGCUGUGGUGGCCGUUUGAGUGCCAGCUGCAGAGGCAGAACCAGGUGCUCUAUUGCGGAAAGGCUCGUUGAUAAUACCCGAGGGCGGUGCCAAAAAGUUGGGCGUGAAGAUGUUAUUGGAGCGUAUGUAACCGCUCUGCUCAACGAGAAUGGGUCGGCAGGUGAGCACACGUGGCCCUGGCUGCGACAGGUCAAGCAUUAAAUCGGAUAUAGCGUGCUGGGCGUGCGAAAGGUAGUGGAAAGCCUCCGAGACGCGAUCGAAGAUGCGCUGUGCGUUCUCGCGACCAUCGGUGUCCUAAAAAAGGAAUUUAAUGUUUUAAUAGGCUUAUAAGAGCUCGGCUUAUUAACUUACACUCUCCUCAAAAGUGGGAUCAUUCUGGAGAAUCUCAUAGUACCGAUCAACAAAAGGCGCCAAGCGAGCCUGUACGCCACGAUAGUGCUGAAUAACUUGGGCCAACACCUGAGGACGAGUGCGUCGCCUGGGUCCUGAGUUGUUGCCGCCUUCGGCAGCCGCGUCAUUUGCUGAUCCAACCGAGGAUGUGGGAGUCUCUGCUGCAGUGACUUGCUGGCCACCAACUGCUCCUUCCGCCUCCGGCUCUGGUGUUGGCGUGACCGAACGAUCUGAUGCUCCAUCGGCCACUUCGUCGUCCGUUUCGAUAACAUCCUCGAUAAUCACAGUAGCAGCUGUGGUUUCACCACUAGCAUUACUUGCAGCUCCACUGGCUGCUCCCUCACUUGUUAUAGCUUCGGCUGUUCUCUGCUGGCUCGUCUCGCCAUUCUCAUUGGUAUAAACCGUGGGCAGCUGAACCACCGUAUAGUUGCGUGCUCCUGUAUGCGAAAGAGCAGCGGUCACGGCAUCUUGGACCAUAUCGAUGAUGUUAUUGUUGCGUGGCAGAUCAGUCGAGGAGACACCUACUUCCACGACUGUGGACUCCAUCGACCAGCGACCGCGCUGCAGAAUGUCCAGUGAUUGAUUGUUCAGGCCAACGGCAGGAUUUUCCAGAUAAGCUGCUAUAUUGUCAGCGCAAUCGAUCAUGUGCAGGGCGACCGUGAUGCGGUUAAUGCAGAAGGACGACGAGUUGGGAUAACGAUUCGGUGGAGGACGUGUCUGCUAAGAUACGUUUAAAUACGCGUGUUGAAAGAGCUUUCAUCUUAAUGGCUUACCCCAGCUACUGGACCAUUGUUCACCGGUAUGGCCAUGGUGCCCACCAGCAUUCCAUCGAGGGCGCGGAAGUACGGAGAAGUACGCAUUCCGGGCGGCGGCGGACGUGCCACAUUGCGGAAGGUUCGCAUGGGUUCAUCAUUGUUGCGGGCAUUGGCUCCGCGCUGCGAGAAUGGUGGUCGUUCGGCCACAUGGAGCACCUUGCCAUCCACAUCUGCAUGGGCAUUGAUAUUGUUGUAUUAGAUAUAAGUGCAUAUAUAUAUGUGGGUGCUCCCGGGGGCAUGACUCACCAUAUUCCUUCACCUGCUUAUCAUCGACCAGAACGCGACCCUGGUAGAUGAUACGCUGGUUUUCCGCCGCAAUGUUAGUCUUCUCGGCUAUUUGGUCCUUGAACUGGCGGAUGGUGAGCUGGAAAUGGGUGGGGUGCAUGGAUAUAAAGAAGCCCCUAGACCUGGACACACAACCUCAAACAUUACCUCAUUGUCGAUGCUGAAUUCGUGGAUGCGCGCAUCUAAGGUCUUCACCUUAAGGUUUAUGAGCAUUUUCCGGCCGGACUGCGUCGCAAAUCAAUUGAAAAUCUCGUUUUUCUUUCGGUUUUCCCCGUGCCGUGCAAAAAAACAGUCGAAAAGGGUUCGUUGGUGGAGGGGGGAAGGCGGGGAAUCUUGUCGGUGUCGCUGUCACCUGCUCUCUCGCUCGCACUCGCUGUCGUUGGCCUUUGGCUUUUCCGGACACGUUUUCGCACUGCUCAACUAGCGGUAAAUAUGUAUACGUUUUCACUGAUCUCCGCCUGCUUUCGGAUCGGGCAAAUAUAUGCUGGGCUUCUAUGCUAACGCGCCGAGCGACUUUGCAAUUCAACAACAGCAGUGGACGAGAAUAAUUACUGGAAUUUGACAGUGUGGCAGUGUUGCCAACUCUCGGAGUGAAAGAGCAGCCAAAUGCCAUCUUGUAAAAAGCUAAACUAGCAGGUAUUGAUAAAU
ensembl:ncRNA asRNA:CR45896 antisense RNA:CR45896